AACGGGAGGGGCGAGCGUUAUUCAUGAUUAUUGGGCGUAAAGGGUACGCAGGCGGUUGGCUGGCAGUAAAUCCGGAAAACCCAGAGUUCAACUCCGGCAAAGGAUUUAAACGCAACGACUAGAGUCAUAAAGAGGAUAGUAGUACUUUUAAAGUAGAGAUGAAAAACGUCGAUAUUAAAAAGACUCCCAAAAGCGAAGGCAACUAUCCAUUAAUGAACUGACGCUAAGGUACGAAGGCAUGGGUAUCAAAUCGG
rnacentral:rRNA from 1 species